UAGUCCACGCCGUGAACGAUGUCAACUAGCCGUUUAGGACACUAAGUCCUUGGUGGCGCAGCUAACGCGAUAAGUUGACCGCCUGGGGAGUACGCCGGCAACGGUAAAACUCAAAGGAAUUGACGGGGCCCGCACAAGCGGUGGAGCAUGUGGUUUAAUUCGAUGCAACGCGAAGAACCUUACCUACUCUUGACAUCCAGAGAAGCUUGAAGAGAUUCGAGUGUGCCUUCGGGAACUCUGAGACAGGUGCUGCAUGGCUGUCGUCAGCUCGUGUUGUGAAAUGUUGGGUUAAGUCCCACAACGAGCGCAACCCUUAUCCUUGUUUGCCAGCACGUAAUGGUGGGAACUCCAGGGAGACUGCCGGUGAUAAACCGGAGGAAGGUGGGGACGACGUCAAGUCAUCAUGGCCCUUACGAGUAGGGGCUACACACGUGCUACAAUGGC
rnacentral:rRNA from 1 species